UGACCUCAGAUCAGGCAAGGCUACCCGCUGAAUUUAAGCAUAUUAAUAAGCGGAGGAAAAGAAACUAACAAGGAUUCCCCUAGUAAUGGCGAAUGAAGCGGGAACAGCUCAAAUUUAAAAUCUCCGUUGCUUGCAACGGCGAAUUGUAGUUUCGAGAAGCACUUUCUCGGCGGAUCCGAGGUCGUCCAAGUUGCUUGGAACAGCACGUCGUAGAGGGUGACAACCCCGUCUGCGGCGAUCUCGGCCGUUCACGAUGUGCUUUCGACGAGUCGGGUUGUUUGGGAAUGCAGCCCAAAAUGGGUGGUAAACUCCAUCUAAAGCUAAAUAUUGGCACGAGACCGAUAGCGAACAAGUACCGUGAGGGAAAGAUGAAAAGCACUUUGAAAAGAGAGUUAAAAAGUACGUGAAACCGUUAAAAGGGAAACGAAUGGGGUUAGCAAUGCGUCGUGCGAGAUUCAGCCGGUGGGUGGGCCAGGCGGGCGGUUGGCGGAUCUGAAUGGACCGCUGCCGUUCGGGUUGGUUUCCCGACCGUCGCACUUCUCGCAGGCGCGCGC
rnacentral:ncRNA from 1 species